GCUAUUAAUAGGUUAAGGCAAAAACCGUGGCGUUGUGAUCGCCAAAAUUAUGUUUUAUAUUUUAGCU
rnacentral:tRNA from 1 species